rnacentral:ncRNA from 1 species
GUGCGUGAGAGAAGGAGAGUUGGUUGGCAGUCCCCUGCACAAGGUUGGAUAGGGCACCUGUUGCCCUUUCUCCGGAGGCAUCAAUCUUCCGCUGCAUCGGGCGGCCUUUUU